UACGUAGGGUGCAAGCGUUGUCCGGAAUUAUUGGGCGUAAAGAGCUCGUAGGCGGCCUGUCACGUCGGCUGUGAAAACCCGGGGCUCAACCCCGGGCCUGCAGUCGAUACGGGCAGGCUAGAGUUCGGCAGGGGAGACUGGAAUUCCUGGUGUAGCGGUGAAAUGCGCAGAUAUCAGGAGGAACACCAGCGGCGAAGGCGCUGCUCUGGGCCGGUACUGACGCUGAGGAGCGAAGGCGUGGGGAGCGAACAGG
rnacentral:rRNA from 1 species